AUUGAACGCUGGCGGAAUGCUUUACACAUGCAAGUCGAACGGCAGCACGGGAGCUUGCUCCUGGUGGCGAGUGGCGAACGGGUGAGUAACAUAUCGGAACGUAGCCAGUCGUGGGGGAUAACUAUCCGAAAGGAUAGCUAAUACCGCAUACGUCCUGCGGGAGACAGCGGGGGAUCGGAAGACCUUGCGCGAUUGGAGCGGCCGAUAUCGGAUUAGCUAGUUGGUGGGGUAAAGGCUCACCAAGGCGACGAUCCGUAGCGGGUCUGAGAGGACGACACGCCACACUAGAGCUGAGACACGGUCCAGACGCCUACGGGAGGCAGCAGUGGGGAAUUUUGGACAAUGGGGGCAACCCUGAUCCAGCCAUUCCGCGUGAGUGAAGAAGGCCUUCGGGUUGUAAAGCUCUUUCAGCAGGAACGAAACGGUCGGCUUUAAUAAAGUCGGCUAAUGACGGUACCUGCAGAAGAAGCACCGGCUAACUACGUG
rnacentral:rRNA from 1 species